GGAAGGUGCAAGCGUUAAUCGGAAUUACUGGGCGUAAAGCGCGCGUAGGCGGCUAGAUAAGUCGGGUGUGAAAGCCCGUGGGCUCAACCGUGGGAACUGCAUUCGAUACUGUCUAGCUAGAGUGUGGUAGAGGGAGGCGGAAUUCCGCAUGUAGCGGUAGAAAUGCGUAGAGAUGCGGAGGAACACCAAUGGCGAAGGCAGCCUUCUGGACCAACACUGACGCUGAGGCGCGAAAGCGUGGGGGGAGCAAACAGGAUUAGAUACCCUGGUAGUCCACGCCCGUAAACGAUGUCAACUAGCCGUUGGGAGCCAUUUUGGCUCUUGGUGGCGCAGCUUAACGCGAUAAGUUGACCGCCUGGGGAGUACGGUCGCAGAUU
rnacentral:rRNA from 1 species